AAAGAUAUAGCCAUAUUCUUCUGAAUAUACUUUAUUAACGCCAUUCCGAGUAACCUUACCCGUUGCUUACCGCGAGGCUGUCCUCCACGGCCCUCUGAAGAUUUAUCUUUGGGGAGUACCUUGCGGAAGGUAUACAAUAAACUCUUGCAUUACCAUGUCAUCUGUCUGAAUCUGUUUAAAACAAAUAUUA
rnacentral:misc_RNA from 1 species